AACGCGAAGAACCUUACCUGGGCUUGAACCGCUACUGACCAACGGUAGAAAUAUCGUCUUCCCGCAAGGGACAGUAGUAGAGGUGCUGCAUGGCUGUCGUCAGCUCGUGCCGUGAGGUGUUGGGUUAAGUCCCGCAACGAGCGCAACCCUUACUCGUAGUUGCUACCCGCAAGGGAGAACUCUACGAGGACUGCUCCGGAUAACGGAGAGGAAGGUGGGGAUGACGUCAAGUCAGCACGGCCUUUAUGUCCAGGGCUACACACGUGUUACAAUGCACGGUACAGACUGUUGCGAACCCGCGAGGGGGAGCUAAUCGGACAAAACCGUGCUCAGUUCGGAUUGCAGUCUGCAACUCGGCUGCAUGAAGCUGGAAUCGCUAGUAAUGGCGUAUCAGAUCGACGCCGUGAAUACGUUCCCGGGCCUUGUA
rnacentral:rRNA from 1 species